rnacentral:rRNA from 1 species
AUGCAGCGGGCGGCCACAGACGCGGCGGUGGAUGCAGGCCACGGCAGAGGAGCUGUGCGUGGCGGCCCUUGUGGCGCGGGCGCGAUGGUGCCGUGGCAGCUGCGCGGCGGAGGGCGUGUGCGUGAAGGCUGCGCGUUCCUCCGGCUUCCGGCGUGCCGCGGCAUGGAAGGCUUGGAGUGCGAGACGGAGGGCAGCCUAUGGAGUGCCGUGGGGGUGCAGCUGGCUAUGAGGUCAGGAGAGGCGGCUAGGAAGACGGUCGCCUCCAUGACACAGACGUCGCUCUCCGCAUCACACAUUGAUGGUGUUGGAAACAAUAUAUGGACACUUGCUUGUUUCUUUGAGUUGACACAAGUCCAAUGA